CUGAGGAUACUUGGUAAUUACCUGUGCUCACCUUGUAUCCCCCCAGGAGACUAAACUCCUUGAGAGAAUUGACUGUUCUGUUUUUGCCCUUGUGACCCGACCAACACCUGGCAUGGCACCUGGAACCCAAAAUGGAAUUUCUCUGUGGCUGUGCUUUCCUCGUCUCUAAAAUGGAGGGAAUAAUGACCUCACAGCAAAAAGAAGAUCAUCAGAAGCACUUGGCUGGUUCAGUGGAAAGAAGUUGCCAUAUAAAUUAUUCAUCCCUCAUUUGAAAGCUGACUUACAAGGAGCUCAUCUGAGGUCUUAGGAGACAUUGGCACUCCCCAUCAAUCAGCAGAGCCAGUGACCUGAGGACAGAGCCCACAGCAAGAGGAGCUUUCAGAUUUCCCUGACCCUGAGCUGGACUAUACUUGCAACCCUGCCUCCUGCUGGCAAUUGCCAGUCUCUCAUGGAGAAGCAUCAGUGCCGUCUGUCUGGACUGGAAGCUUCUAGAGAAUCAGGCUCGGAAUAUGAUGACUGCCCUUGUCCAUCUGCCAUUGGCAUCAUUUUCAUGGAGACAAUGUGGGGCAGAAGAAAGGGCCCAAAACUUAGGGUCACAGGACCCGAGUUGAAAACCCAGCUCUGCUACUUACUACCAGUAUGACCUUGGGUAAGUCACAACCUGUAUCAGCCUCAGUUUCCUCCUUUUGUAAAAUGGUCCAGUUGGACUAAAUGAACUCUGUAGAUCAAAUGAGAUAAUGUCACUAUGUUACGGCACAUAGUAGGUGCUUAAUAAAUAC
rnacentral:lncRNA from 1 species